rnacentral:rRNA from 1 species
AAUGAACGUUGGCGGCGUGGAUUAGGCAUGCAAGUCGAGCGCUCAUAGCAAUAUGGGAGCGGCGAACGGCGUAGUAAGACGUAGGAACGUACCCUCGGGACGGGGAUAGCUAUGGGAAACUGUAGGUAAUACCCGAUAAUCUCUGCGGAGCAAAGGUGUGAUUCCGCCUGGGGAGCGGCUUACGCGAUAUUAGCUAGUUGGUGGGGUAAUGGCCUACCAAGGCAAUGAUGUCUAGGGGGUGUGAGAGCAUGGCCCCCACGACCGGAACUGAGAUACUGUCCGGACACCUACGGGAGGCAG